GACGAACGCUGGCGGCGUGCCUAAUACAUGCAAGUCGAGCGGACUGAAUGGGAGCUUGCUCUUCUUCGGUCAGCGGCGGACGGGUGAGUAACACGUGGGCAACCUGCCCGCAAGACCGGGAUAACUCCGGGAAACCGGAGCUAAUACCGGAUAACACCGAAGACCGCAUGGUCUUUGAUUGAAAGACGGCUCAAGCUGCCACUUGCGGAUGGGCCCGCGCCCCAUUGGCUAGUUGGUAAGUAACGGGCUUACCAAGGCAACGUGGGUAAGCGGCCCGGGAGGGGGGACCGGCCCCCCUGGACCGAGAAAACGCCCAGACCCCCACGGGGGGCCGCCGGAGGGGAUCUUUCGCAAUGGGCGGAAGCCCGACGGGGCGACGCCGCGUGAGCGAAGAAGGCUUUCGGGUCGUAAAGCUCUGUUGUGAGGGACGAAGGAGAGGCGUUUGAAGCAGUGCGCGCGGUGACGGUACCUAACGAGGAAGCCCCGGCUAACUACGUG
rnacentral:rRNA from 1 species